GCAUGUGUGUGCGCGCGCGUGUGUGCGGGGUGUGCCGUGAGCGUGUGCCCGCGGUUCGGGGGAUGAGUAGGGGCGCUGACUUUUAGGACCAGCCAUUUGAGUCAAGCUGGAGACGACGUCUUAGAACCUAGGAUGAGUCUCGUUUGGUUUUAGUCUGCAAAGCUCGUCUGCAUCAGACAGGAAUUUUCCCCAGACGCGGGUGCACGUGAAUUAAUUCAUCAGAAGGCGGUUCACGGCCUGAGUGAGGGGGACGAGGGCGGCGAAUUCCUCCGCCUCAUUCCUACCCUGACGAUUCGAGCCUGUUAAUAUGAUGAAUUACACUGAUUCAGUUUCAAAUGUCCAACCAAGCUUGCACUCCAGAGAUGAAGCCCACUUGAUCACAUGGAUUAUUCUUUUAAUAUAUGAUGGAUACGACUUGGCUGUUCUUUUGUUGAGGAUUUUUGUGUUUAUGUUAAUGAGGAUAUUAUUUGUAGUUUUCUUUUCUUGUAAUGUUUUUGUCUUUGUUCAGUGUCAGAGUAAUGCCAACUUCAUAAAGUGAGCUGGGAAGUACUCCCUCAUUUUCUGUUUUCUGUGAAAGAAUUGUAUAGAAUUGAUGUUAUUUCUUCCUUAAGUGUUGAGUAGAAUUCACUUGCAAAGCCAUCUGAGGUUGACAUCUUCUUUGGGAAUGACUUUAGCUAUAAAUUCAAUUUAUUUAACAGAUAUAGGGCUAUUAAGGUUAUUUAAUUUUUUUCUUGAAUGAGCUUUAGUGUCCUGUGUUUUUCAAGGAAUUUUUCCAUUUUAUUUAAGUUUUUAGAUUUGUUGGCAUAAAGUUAUCCCAAUAUUUCCUUAGAAGUUGUGACUUUUACUGCAUAUAAAACAUACCUCAAUAAAGCUAAUACAUACAUAUAUAUAUAUGAAUCAUUUCUGGCCAGGUACAGUGGCUCAUGCCUGUAAUCCCAGCACUUUGGGAGGCAGAGGCAGGUGGAUCACCUGAGAUCAGGUGUUCCAGACCAGCCUGG
rnacentral:lncRNA from 1 species